GACGAACGCUGGCGGCGUGCUUAACACAUGCAAGUCGAACGGAAAGGCCCUGCUUUUGUGGGGUUCUCGAGUGGCGAACGGGUGAGUAACACGUGAGUAACCUGCCCUUGACUUUGUGGUAACUUCAGGAAACUGGGGCGAAUACCGGGUAGGAGCUCCUGCUGCAUGGGGGGGGUUGGAAAGUUUCGGCGGUUGGGGAUGGACUCGCGGCUUAUCAGCUAGUUGGUGGGGUAGUGGCUUACCAAGGCUUUGACGGGUAGCCGGCCUGGGAGCGUGAACGGCCACAUUGGGACUGAGAUACGGACCAGACGGCUACGGGAGGCAGCAGUGGGGAAUAUUGCACAAUGGGCGGAAGCCUGAUGCAGCAACGCUGCGUGCGGGAUGACGGCCUUCGGGUUGUAAACCGCUUUCGCCUGUGACGAAGAGUGAGUGACGGUAAUGGGUAAAGAAGCACCGGCUAACUACGUG
rnacentral:rRNA from 1 species